rnacentral:rRNA from 1 species
AUGCAAAGAACUUUGAAAAGAGAGUUAAAGAGUACCUGAAAUUGUUGAAAGGGAAGCGAAGGAAACCAGUGCCGAAGCUUCGUCAUACUUCUCUUGCCGCUUGCGGUAAGGGCGCUGUGGCGUUGCAUGGGUCAGCAUCGGCUCUUCGCCUGGGAUAAACCUUCAGUUGGUAGACUAUAACAUUAUGUUAUGAGUGCCCUCUGUUGAUAUCCUGGGUUGGGCUGAGGUCAGUCACUCUGUGCUCGUGAUGCUGGCAAAAUGGUUUUCUUUACCCCGUCUUGAAACACGGACCAAGGAGUCUAACAUAUGUGCAAGUACAAAGGUGGCAAACCUGCGUGCAUAAUGAAAGUAACAGUGGUAGGAUCCCUUCGGGGUGCACUAUCCGCCGGCCAACAUCCUUCGGGAGAAAGGUCUGAGUGUGAGCAUACAUGUUGGGACCCGAAAGAUGGUGAACUAUGCCUGAGUAGGGCGAAGCCAGGGGAAACUCUGGUGGAGGCUCGUAGAGAUUCUGACGUGCAAAUCGAUCUUCAAAUUUGGGUAUAGGGGCGAAAGACUAAUCGAACCAUCUAGUAGCUGGUUCCCUCCGAAAUUUCCCUCAGGAUAGCUGCAAUUGAUCAAUUUUAUCA